UGAAAAGAUACAAAAACAAAUUCAAUCAUUCUGUGAAAAUCGUCAAAUCAUCAUAUUAUGUUAGGGGCCAUUCACAAAGGAUGUCCGGUCAAAUGAUGGAUUUUCAGACCCCCCCUCCCCCCCUUGUCCGGCAUUGUCCGAAUUAGUGACCCCCCUCCCCCCGGACAUCCGCCAUGCCUCGCAAAAACUCACGCAACCUUGUAUAUAUCAAGAGUAAAAAACUUUUUUUACUUUUAGAACUUUUUUAUAACUAUAAAUGUGAACACAAAAACAUAUAAAUUACUAAUUAAAACAAAAUCUAGUGUUAACCGCAUAGUCAAAAUGCCAAUUUCACAAUGGGAAGGACUGCUCAAAAUAGAG
rnacentral:lncRNA from 1 species